GGUUAGCCUAGUUCUCUUGCCUACAGCCCAGCCACAGAAUAACUCCAAUUUGGCCUCCCGUCACAACUGAGACUUCAAUGAUCCAGUGAUGCUGUGAUUCUCCAGGGCAAGAAACAUCCUGGGAGCUGAAAACAUCCUGGGAGAACAAACAUCUACUCUGCUCCUCAUUGUUCUUGGACUGUUAACAUCUUAUUUACGCAGGAUGUGCUGAACUCUCUGCAAGUCAUUUGUUACAUUUGUUUCUCCCGAUGUACUGAAUAAAAGGUGUGGUAAGGUGGGGGCUUUUGUUUUUGCUGCCCAGAGCAGCACUGAUCAGACCCAAAGCUCAGCUUCUUCUCAGUCUCAUUUUCCUACCUUUCCUGUAAUUCGCCGUGUGCUGCUGUGGCUCGAAGGAGACCAGGACUCACUGCAGAGGUUCUGGUAACAUCCCCUUCCCCUGUUCCCUACAAUUUUACUUCUUACACCUGUCUGUGACCCCAGCUGGACUCUGUUCCACCCAGUGGUUCAUAAAACCUAUGAGUCCUAAGAUGGAAAACCAGGGGUCCUGUUAGCAGAAGAGCAUCCUGGGAAAGCCGAACGCAGCGGUCUUCCAUCAGUACUCUUACCACAAGAAGACAAGGUCUCAAUUGAGAUGAGUAGCCACCAGAAACACCCAGCCUGAUGGAGGAGGACCCACACGGUGGAUGACACAGGGUUGACUUGGGAGAAGGAAGACUGCUGACCCGGAGAAGCCUAAAUGUGUUGAUGGACC
rnacentral:lncRNA from 1 species